ACUGAACGCUGGCGGCAGGCUUAACACAUGCAAGUCGAGCGGGGUGAUGUAGCUUGCUACAUUACCUAGCGGCGGACGGGUGAGUAAUGCUUAGGAAUCUGCCUAUUAGUGGGGGACAACAUUCCGAAAGGAAUGCUAAUACCGCAUACGCCCUACGGGGGAAAGCAGGGGAUCUUCGGACCUUGCGCUAUUAGAUGAGCCUAAGUCAGAUUAACUAGUUGGUGGGGUAAAGGCCUACCAAGGCGACGAUCUGUAGCGGGUCUGAGAGGAUGAUCCGCCACACUGGGACUGAGACACGGCCCAGACUCCUACGGGAGGCAGCAGUGGGGAAUAUUGGACAAUGGGCGAAAGCCUGAUCCAGCCAUGCCGCGUGUGUGAAGAAGGCCUUUUGGUUGUAAAGCACUUUAAGCGAGGAGGAGGCUACUUAGAUUAAUACUCUAGGAUAGUGGACGUUACUCGCAGAAUAAGCACCGGCUAACUCUGUGCCAGCCGCCGCAGUAAAAC
rnacentral:rRNA from 1 species